CCAAUAGCGUAUAUUAAAGUUGUUGCAGUUAAAAAGCUCGUAGUUGAAUUUCGGGAUCAAUACGUCGGUCGUGCUUAGGUACGUACUGGCGUAAUUGAUUUCUCCCUUCUGACGAACCAUGAUGUCAUUAACUUGGUGUCAUGGGAAAUCAGGACUGUUACUUUGAAAAAAUUAGAGUGUUUAAAGCAGGCUCACGCUUGAAUACAUUAGCAUGGAAUAAUGAAAUAGGACGUUCGAUCCUAUUUUGUUGGUUUUUAGGAUCAACGUAAUGAUUAAUAGGGAUAGUUGGGGGCAUUAGUAUUCAAUUGUCAGAGGUGAAAUUCUUGGAUUUAUUGAAGACUAACUACUGCGAAAGCAUUUGCCAAGGAUGUUUUCAUUAAUCAAGAACGAAAGUUAGGGGAUCGAAGACGAUCAGAUACCGUCGUAGUCUUAACCAUAAACUAUGCCGACUAGGGAUCGGAUGAUGUUAAUUUUUUAAUGACUCAUUCGGCGCCUUACG
rnacentral:rRNA from 2 species